rnacentral:rRNA from 1 species
GACGAACGCUGGCGGCGUGCUUAACACAUGCAAGUCGAACGGAAAGGCCCCUUCGGGGGUACUCGAGUGGCGAACAGGUGAGUAACACGUGAGUAACCUGCCCUUGACUUCGGGAUAACUUCAGGAAACUGGGGCUAAUACCGGAUAGGAAUCCUUGCUGCAUGGUGGGGGUUGGAAAGCUUCGGCGGUUUUGGAUGGACUCGCGGCUUAUCAGCUUGUUGGUGGGGUAGUGGCUUACCAAGGCUUUGACGGGUAGCCGGCCUGAGAGGGCGACCGGCCACAUUGGGACUGAGAUACGGCCCAGACUCCUACGGGAGGCAGCAGUGGGGAAUAUUGCACAAUGGGCGGAGGCCUGAUGCAGCAACGCCGCGUGCGGGAGGACGGCCUUCGGGUUGUAAACCGCUUUCAGCAGGGGCGAAGCUUGUGGUGACGGUACCUGCAGAAGAAGCACCGGCUAACUACGUG